ensembl:lncRNA
CCACACAAACACACCCCGAUACAGACACACACACAGAGUGCAAAAGGCGAGCCGCCCCAUCCCGUCUCCAGGGUCCUCCGGGGCCCCCGCCCGCUGCUGCGCAUCCCGCGUCAGAGGAGCGAUUAACCAGACCCGGUAAGACACUCCAAGUCGUUGUGGUGCCAGGAUCUACUUCUGAAGGACCCUCAGAAGCCUCGGACAAGCUUCCCACAUGUGGCAGGACACUCAAGAGGGAUGGCUUGAUCGUGAAGUUUGAAAAGGGAAACUGAGUCUCGGGACACAAUCUGGCUUGCAGGGUCCAAGCACCACGAUGAAGC